UGACAUGAACUUGGUCAAAUCUUGCGGUGUAUCGUCCGAAUGUCCAGGUAGCAGCCACACAACUUCUUCGUGCCAACCGUAUGAGGCAGGCUGGUCGUGUACUUUAUGCUGCAAGGACAAUUUGUGUAACAGUGGUGCCAACGGUAACGUACCGAGACCCCCUCCAUAUCCACCCAUACCAGACCCCCUAGUAAGGCGACUAACCAGUGGCUGUGGAACAACGAAGGAUAAUUGCCAAACAACCUUAACUUGGUCAGACGAAUCUCGCCGUAUUCAAAUCAACAAACAAUGCGCUUCACAGAACAACAUUCUCGUUGGUAAUAUUUUCCAAUACACUGCUCAGUGUAACAUUCCAGCUGUAGAUCCUGGUUACUGUGUAACUUGCUGUCUGGAUAACAGUUGCAUGUUGGAAACUACAGAUGCAGCUGUAAGGCCUAUUGUGUUUACAUCGCUGCACCAAUCUUUGCUUCUUCUGACAACAGUCCUUACUAGAUUGCUUUGUUGAUGGACGAUAAUUGGUAGUAACUGGAGUGGACUUGGUGUGACAUCGUUCGCAAAGUAGAGAUUAAAAGACACGCUUAUCCGUCCAGCACCCUGUAAAACAAACGUUUACAUGAUUUAGAGUCUCAUAAACUCCUCUACGAGAAGAGAGUCCACAGGAUUUAAGGCAAAUGGUGAGGUCUCAAUCUAUUUGGUUUGCGGUAACACCAUGUGUGAAUCUACUUGCCAGGUAGAGUUUGUUCUUUGAGAACUGUCUUUC